rnacentral:rRNA from 1 species
GGGCCCGCACAAGCGGCGGAGCAUGCGGAUUAAUUCGAUGCAACGCGAAGAACCUUACCAAGGCUUGACAUAUAGAGGAAAAGUGCAGAAAUGCACUCCCCGCAAGGUCUCUAUACAGGUGGUGCAUGGUUGUCGUCAGCUCGUGUCGUGAGAUGUUGGGUUAAGUCCCGCAACGAGCGCAACCCUCGUCCUAUGUUGCCAGCACGUAAUGGUGGGAACUCAUGGGAUACUGCCGGGGUCAACUCGGAGGAAGGUGGGGAUGACGUCAAAUCAUCAUGCCCCUUAUGUCUUGGGCUUCACGCAUGCUACAAUGGCCGGUACAGAGGGAAGCCACCCCGCGAGGGGAGCGGA